rnacentral:rRNA from 1 species
CACCGCGGUUAUACGGAGGACCCAAGUUGAUAAUCACGGCGUAAAGCGUAGUUAAGAGACACUUCUCAAAUAGGGCCGAAUAAUCUCAAGACAGUAGAAUGUGUUCGAGACCACUAAGCACAGCUAUAAAUAAUGACCCUAACACUUCUGACUCUACGAAAGCUAUAACA